rnacentral:rRNA from 1 species
GGAUCGGAGUCUGCAACCCGACUCCGUGAAGCUGGAUUCGCUAGUAAUCGCGCAUCAGCCAUGGCGCGGUGAAUACGUUCCCGGGCCUUGUACACACCGCCCGUCAAGCCAUGGGAGCCGGGGGUGCUUGAAGUGCGUCGCCGCAAGGCGCGCCCUAGAGCAAAACCGGUGACUGGGGCUAAGUCGUAACAAGGUAGC